ACGAACGCUGGCGGCGUGCCUAACACAUGCAAGUCGAACGAGAAAGUCCUUCGGGAUGAGUAUAGUGGCGCACGGGUGAGUAAUACAUAGGAACGUACCUACAGGUGGGGAAUAACCACGGGAAACUGUGGCUAAUACCGCAUACGAUUGUGAAAUCAAAGGGGGCCUCUUCUUGAAAGCUCUCGCCUGUAAAUCGGCCUAUGGCCCAUUAGCUAGUUGGUAGGGUAAUGGCCUACCAAGGCAACGAUGGGUAGCUGGUCUGAGAGGAUGAUCAGCCACACUGGGACUGAGACACGGCCCAGACUCCUACGGGAGGCAGCAGUGGGGAAUAUUGCACAAUGGGCGAAAGCCUGAUGCAGCAACGCCGCGUGAGUGAAGAAGGCCCUUGGGUCGUAAAGCUCUUUCGGCAGGGAAGAAGGGAAGCUUAGCUAAUAUCUGAGCUUUUUGACGGUACCUGAAUAAGAAGCACUGGCUAACUACGU
rnacentral:rRNA from 1 species